UAUGUGAGCUGCACAGACACACAGG
rnacentral:piRNA from 1 species